UAGUCCACGCCGUAAACGAUGAUUACUAGUUGUUUGUGAUAGACAAUAAGCGACAAAGCGAAAGCAUUAAGUAAUCCACCUGGGGAGUACGUUGGCAACAAUGAAACUCAAAGGAAUUGACGGGGGCCCGCACAAGCGGAGGAACAUGUGGUUUAAUUCGAUGAUACGCGAGGAACCUUACCUGGACUUAAAUGUAGAUUGACAGCUUUAGAGAUAGAGUUUUCUUCGGACAAUUUACAAGGUGCUGCAUGGUUGUCGUCAGCUCGUGCCGCGAGGUGUCGGGUUAAGUCCCAUAACGAGCGCAACCCACGUUGUUAGUUACCAGCACAUAAUGGUGGGCACUCUAACAAGACUGCCGGUGUAAACCGCGAGGAAGGUGUGGAUGACGUCAAGUCAUCAUGGCCCUUAUGGGUAGGGCUACACACGUGCUACAAUGGGAAGUACAGAGGGUUGCGAAGCCGCGAGGUGGAGCUAAUCUCAGAAAACUUUUCGUAGUUCCGGAUUGCACU
rnacentral:rRNA from 1 species